CGGGCAGUAGAUCAGCGGCAGAGCUCCCGCUUCGUAUGCUGGAAGAUCUGGGUUCGAUUCCCGGCUGUUUAA
rfam:Toxocara canis scaffold175, whole genome shotgun sequence.